rnacentral:tRNA from 1 species
GAAACUUAGGUUAACCUAAAACCGAAGGCCUUCAAAGCCUUAAACAAGAGUUAAACCCUCUUAGCUUCUGU